rnacentral:rRNA from 1 species
CCUACGGGUGGCAGCAGUGGGGAAUAUUGGACAAUGGGCGAAAGCCUGAUCCAGCCAUGCCGCGUGUGUGAAGAAGGCCUUCGGGUUGUAAAGCACUUUCAGUGGGGAAGAAAGCCUUGGGGCUAAUACCCUCGAGGAAGGACAUCACCCACAGAAGAAGCACCGGCUAACUCCGUGCCAGCAGCCGCGGUAAUACGGAGGGUGCGAGCGUUAAUCGGAAUUACUGGGCAUAAAGCGCGCGUAGGCGGUCUGAUAAGCCGGUUGUGAAAGCCCCGGGCUCAACCUGGGAACGGCAUCCGGAACUGUCAGGCUAGAGUGCAGGAGAGGAAGGUAGAAUUCCCGGUGUAGCGGUGAAAUGCGUAGAGAUCGGGAGGAAUACCAGUGGCGAAGGCGGCCUUCUGGACUGACACUGACGCUGAGGUGCGAAAGCGUGGGUAGCAAACAGGAUUAGAUACCCCAGUAGUC